AGAGAAAAGUAGUACUUCAAGAUUUUAAAGCUUUGAGUAGCAUCCUCUAAGGAGAUAAGAAUCAACUAUUUACUGUUAAGUGUGGUCCUGUUAAAAAGGACAUUAUAUUAUUAAUAAAUAUCCACUUACCCACCUAGGAUCAGUUCCCACUAUUCAUCUGCUCAACAAGCACAAUUAUAUCUCACAUUCACACAUGACAGUAUGGUUCAUCUCUCGUUUUUCUUGUCAGCCUCACAGGUAAAUUCCUUUAAAUUAUCCCAUGCAGAUCUGAAGUUCUUUAGAAGCAAGUUACUCUCCCCUCUCGAAAUAUGGGUCUUAACACAAUGCUAACUAUUUCUAAAGUUACUUAGAAGUAAGGAUUUCUGAAAACUCAAAUUUGUACUUAAGAACCACCACACUUCAAAGGACAAAAGUUAGGUUACCAAGAUGCAGACAUAUAUAUAUAUACACAUAGGUAGGUGUUCAUACACAAACACACAUGCAUAUGUUAGAGCAAAAGGCAAGGAAGGAAAAUUCUCCCCACCCUACGUAAGUCACAACUUAAAUUCACUGUAGUUUAAGAAAAUGCAAGAUUAAGCCAGAAUAUUUUAGCUACAACAGCUCCCAAACUACAUCAGUUCCUUUGUAAUUAGCAACUGUCCUGGCUCAUUCCCAUUUAACACUUCCAUUCACUAAACAUACAGUAAUUUUAUAUGGUAUUAUAAUGUUCAAUUCUCCAAUUAUCACAAAACAGUAUGUAUAGAAAGCAUUUCAAACUAGACUCAAGCUUAUAUUUUACAGAUAUUUGAGCUAUCAAGAUUCAGAGACUGAACAGGACUUCAAACCUGUGCGUUUUGAUAAGUCAGCCUUAACUAAAACCAAAACUCAUUUUAACGAGUACCCACAGUUCAAAGUGAAAAUGAAAUCUCCUUGAAUUCUAUAGUAUCAACUUUGUUUCUCUAAGUGAUAAAAACUCCCAGUGAGAAAAAUUUUCUAUUACCAGGUUUGGUCUUAAGAUGUUUAGAUGAAAGCUGCUAAAGAAAGGUUACUGCUUAAGACAUUUUAAAACCAUAUCCCUGUAAAUUUAAGCAACUACAGAUCAGAUGUUCAUAAAUAAGCAUCUGUAUUUGUCAUUUUAGGAGUGACAGCUUCUAAGACAUUCUCCAUCCCACGAGUAGAAAACCAUGGAUGAAAGACUUUAUAAGAACAUACACGCUUAUUGUCUUUAGCCUUUGAAAGUACUAAUUUCAAAAUAAGCCUAUGUACAAAAAAUAACAACCAUUCACUAUGUAGCUCUUCCUAGUUACAAACACAUUUUUAUUACCAACACGAAAUCAUCUAGUCUGAUCUUCAGUGUAAGCAGACCAGGAUAUUCUAAUGAGCAACUCAUGUACCACUUGUCUUCUGAUUAGCAGCAUCAGGAAUUAAAUCCCUAAGCCCUUAAUGGAAAGGAAAUUCACUUUCAGUCUCAUUUAAUGUAUUAAGAAGGGUAACAAACGCCUUAGUACAUUGUACCCAGCUGGCCAUUAGAUCUUGAAGACUAAAAAAGUGCUGUUACCACAAAUCUCUUCCCAUUCAGUGUACUUGGACUGAGAAGUAAUUUGAUUCUCAUCUUCUCCUGAAUAUACUGCACUGACUGAGCCUCAGUCUGCACCGUAGCAAAAGUCUUAUUGAAUGUUUUAUCCUUGUACCACCUCUCCCAAACUGUUUCAGGUUGUCAAAGUACCUUCUGAAGUGUCAAGGAAAAAAACACGUGUGAAGUCACAAUUAACUUGGUAAUAUUAUAUGCUGCUCAGUCCCUUUAGCUGUUUUCCCCCUUCUAUUAUACCAAAACACUUUUACUGUAUUACAGUGUACACCUAUGAUAAUUAUCUACCACAUUCCCACCAGUCCUUCUUUUCAAGAUCACUGUCUGCCAAGAUGUAUUUCAUUCCCUAGGUGAUCAGUGUCUAUAAAAUAAUGAUUUGCCAGAAUUCAUCUCAUCAUCCACACAAUACUAAUUUCCCAUGUCUAUCAACUUUAAGCACUACAACAACAACCAUUUCACAUUUUCUUCCACAUCACAGCAACUAUAUCCAUGGGAUAUCAAGGAUUGCAUCAGAUCCGAACUCUGUUCCCAGUCCUUUUGCUGCAGCCUCAUUUGUGUCCUCCAGGCACUUUCUGGAGUACCCAAAGUGCACCACAGCUGGCUCAGCUCUUCUGCAGACCCUCUGCGAUACCUCUGCGGCCCUUACACAGAACAUGGAUCGUGUGUUUUUUUUGUUUGUUUUCCUCUCCAUUCAAAGUACCCAAAAUUAAUGAGAAGGCUGUAUCAGAGCCUGUUAGACAACUCGUUUACUGUACCAGACUUAAGGUAUUGUAGGGUGAGAGACCACAGAAAUGCCUCAUGAAAGUCAUCUUCUUCCUGUUACUCAGCUGUACUAAGAAAAAUUGAUAGCAGGCUAAAACAUUAUUAUAAAGCAUCAUGAAAAGCUGCGUACACAUCACCACCAUGAAACAAUAGCUAUGUACACCAUUCAGAAAAAUACAUUGCUGUUCUGGUUCGCAGUAGAACAAGGUUUUGAUUUGCAGUGAUAUUGCCUUUCUUAACUUUACAUUCUUAACUUU